GACGAACGCUGGCGGCGUGCUUAACACAUGCAAGUCGAACGGAAAGGCCCUGCUUGCAGGGUACUCGAGUGGCGAACGGGUGAGUAACACGUGGGUGAUCUGCCCUGCACUUCGGGAUAAGCCUGGGAAACUGGGUCUAAUACCGGAUAGGAGCCAUUUUUAGUGUGAUGGUUGGAAAGUUUUUUCGGUGUAGGAUGAGCUCGCGGCCUAUCAGCUUGUUUGUGGGGUAAUGGCCUACCAAGGCGGCGACGGGUAGCCGGCCUGAGAGGGUGGACGGCCACAAUGGGACUGAGAUACGGCCCAGGCUCCUACGGGGGGCAACAGGGGGGAAUAUUGCACAAUGGGCGGAAGCCUGAUGCAGCGACGCCGCGGGGGGGAUGACGGCCUUCGGGGUGUAAACUCCUUUCGCUAGGGACGAAGCUUUUUGUGACGGUACCUAGAUAAGAAGCACCGGCUAACUACGUG
rnacentral:rRNA from 1 species